rnacentral:rRNA from 1 species
AAGGGCACCACAAGAACGCGUGGAGCAUGUGGCUUAAUUUGACUCAACGCGGGAAAUCUUACCGGGUCCGGACACACUGAGGAUUGACAGAUAUAUACCAUAUGUGCUCUCGGGCACUGUGGUUGAAAGAUGCUAGUUCUUUCAUGAUUAUGUGAUAGGUGGUGCAUGGCCGUUCUUAGUUCGUGGAGUGAUCUGUCUGCUUAAUUGCGUAUCAAAAAUAGAGACCUAGUAUACGUGUAUAUGCUGUGCGGUUCGUGACCCCCUCUUCUCGAGGCGUGUGUCGCACGUACGCUAUACGCACAGGUCUCCGAUAGCAACGAACGUGACCGUAUUCUAUUGUUGCAGCGACAGUGCGUACUUUUUUGUGCGUACUACCACUGCUUAGCAUAUAUCGUGCCUCGUGUAUGAUUAUGCAUUAAACUAUAGAGACCGCUGUUUCUUCUUUAAACCAGAGGAAGGAUACAGCAAUAACAGGUCUGUGAUGCCCUCAGAUGUUCCGGGCUGCACACGUGCUCCAAUGAUCAUUGCACUGUGCAUCCAACCCAAUGUGCGUAGACGCCUCAGUGCGUAUGCUCUUCGGAGUAUGCGUAUCUUGAGUGCGACCACGCCGAACCUGCUUCGAAAGUAAAAAUUUCAACGCGGGUAAUCCAUUAGAAGUAAUGACUCGCUUUUAGACCUUGGCACACACUCUAUGUGCGCGCGGGCUAACCGUUCUGGUCUCUGUAUCAGUUCAGUGCUUAGCUCGUUGUUUCGUACGUGCCACUCCGUAUUAAUUCAUACGUGGGGAUAGAUCAUUGUUUAAUUGUUGGUCUCGGUCUUAACUAGGAAUGCCUUGUACGGGUCUUUGGUUCAACAUACCACCCGGAAUACGUCCCUGCCCUUUGUACACACCGCCCGUCGCUCUUACCGAUGGAUUAUACUAUGAAUCUGUAGGACUGCCAAAGUUGCACCGUCUCGGCGGCGCGCUUAGUGGAAAUAUAUAUGAAUAGUGUGAUCUAAAGGAAAGAGAAGUCGUAACAAGGCAUCGGUAGGUGAACCUGCAGAAGGAUCA